rnacentral:rRNA from 1 species
GACGAACGCUGGCGGCGUGCCUAACACAUGCAAGUCGAACGGAGUUAAGAGAGCUUGCUUUCUUGACUUAGUGGCGAACGGGUGAGUAACGCGUGAGGAAUCUGCCUUUCAGUGGGGGACAACAGUUGGAAACGACUGCUAAUACCGCAUAAUGUCAUUCGGAGGCAUCUCUGAGUGACCAAAGAUUUAUCGCUGAAAGAUGGCCUCGCGUCCAAUUAGCUAGUUGGUGAGGUAACGGCCCACCAAGGCGACGAUUGGUAGCCGGACUGAGAGGUUGAACGGCCACAUUGGGACUGAGACACGGCCCAG